rnacentral:tRNA from 4 species
GCCACUUUAGCUCAGCUGGUAGAGCAACUGAUUUGUAAUCAGUAGGUCGCUGGUUCGAUUCCGGCAAGUGGCUCCA